rnacentral:tRNA from 9 species
GGAGGAAUACCCAAGUCUGGCUGAAGGGAUCGGUCUUGAAAACCGACAGGCGGGUCAAACCGCGCAGGGGUUCGAAUCCCCUUUCCUCCUCCA